AUGGACGUCUCAGCCACCGGAGCAGGCGCGAAGGCCAAGAAGGGCGCCGCAGGGCGCAAGGCCGGCGGCCCAAGGAAGAAGUCCGUGUCGAGGUCCGUCAAGGCCAGGCUCCAGUUCCCGGUCGGCCGCAUCGGGCGGUACCUCAAGAAGGGCCGGUACGCGCAGCGCAUCGGUACCGGAGCUCCCGUCUACCUCUCGGCCGUCCUCGAGUACCUCGCCGUCGAGGUGCUGGAGCUCGCCGGCAACGCCGCCAAGGACAACAAGAAGAGCCGCAUCAUCCCGAGGCACCUGCUGCUCGCCGUGAGGAACGACGAGGAGCUCGGGAAGCUGCUGGCAGGCGUCACCAUCGCGCAUGGCGGCGUGGUGCCCAAGAUCAACCCGGUGCUGCUCCCCAAGCGGACGGCGGAGAAGGCGCCCAAGGAGGGCAAGUCGCCCAAGAAGGCCGCCAAGUCCCCCAAGAAGGCUUAG
rnacentral:rRNA from 1 species